rnacentral:sRNA from 1 species
GUAUUUGGAUUCUGUCUGGGUGAUUCUGGAAACCCCAGUUGUUUCUGUGUCUGAAUGAGUUACUUUUUCAGUUUAUUUGCCUCCUCUUUGUGAUUUUAAAAUAUUUAAAUCGUUUUCUAAAAUGUUAUUCUGGGGCAUUUCUAUUGCUUUGAGGAGGAGCACAGGAAGAAAGAAGAAGCGCUGCAGGUUGCCUGGUGUUGACUCUGUCUUAAAAGGCCUCCCCACUGAAGAAAAAGAUGAAAAUGAUGAAAACUCAUUAAGCAGUUCCUCUGACUGUAGUGAAAACAAGGAUGAAGAAAUAAGUGAAGAAAGUGAUAUUGAAGAAAAGACUGAAGUGAAAGAAGAACCAGAGCUUCAAACAAGAAGGGAAAUGGAAGAAAGAACAAUAACUAUAGAAAUCCCUGAAGUUCUGAAGAAGCAGCUGGAGGAUGAUUGUUACUACAUUAACAGGAGGAAACGGUUAGUGAAACUUCCAUGCCAGACCAACAUCAUAACGAUUUUGGAAUCCUAUGUGAAGCAUUUUGCUAUCAAUGCAGCCUUUUCAGCCA